rnacentral:rRNA from 1 species
AACGAACGCUGGCGGCAGGCCUAACACAUGCAAGUCGAGCGAAGCCUUCGGGCUUAGCGGCGGACGGGUGAGUAACGCGUGGGAACGUGCCCUUUGGUACGGAAUAGCCCCGGGAAACUGGGAGUAAUACCGUAUGUGGUCGAGAGACGAAAGAUUUAUCGCCAAAGGAGCGGCCCGCGUUGGAGUGGGUAGUUGGUGGGGUAAUGGCCUAGCAAGCCGACGAUACAAAGCUGGUCAGAGAGGAUGAUCAGCCACACUGGGACUGAGACACGGCGCAGACUCCUACGGGAGGCAGCAGUGGGGAAUCUUAGACAAUUGGGGAAACCCAGAUCUAGCCAUGCCGCGUGAGCGAUGAAGGCCUUAGGGUUGUAAAGAUCUUUCAGUGGGGAAGAUAAUGACUGUACCCACAGAAGAAGCCCCGGCUAACUCCGUGCCAGCCGCCGCCGUAACAC